rnacentral:rRNA from 1 species
UUGUUCGGAAUUACUGGGCGUAAAGGGCUCGUAGGCGGCCAACUAAGUCGGAUGUGAAAUCCCCAGGCUUAACCUGGGAAUUGCAUCCGAUACUGGAUGGCUUGAAUCCGGGAGAGGGAUGCGGAAUUCCAGGUGUAGCGGUGAAAUGCGUAGAUAUCUGGAGGAACACCGGUGGCGAAGGCGGCAUCCUGGACCGGCAUUGACGCUGAGGAGCGAAAGCCAGGGGAGCAAACGGG